rnacentral:rRNA from 1 species
AUUGAACGCUGGCGGCAUGCUUUACACAUGCAAGUCGAACGGUAACAGGUUAAGCUGGCGAGUGGCGAACGGGUGAGUAAUGCAUCGGAACGUGCCCGGUCGUGGGGGAUAACGCAGCGAAAGCUGCGCUAAUACCGCAUACGAUCUGAGGAUGAAAGCGGGGGACCGUAAGGCCUCGCGCGAUCGGAGCGGCCGAUGUCAGAUUAGGUAGUUGGUGGGGUAAAGGCUCACCAAGCCAACGAUCUGUAGCUGGUCUGAGAGGACGGCCAGCCACACUGGGACUGAGACACGGCCCAGAAUCCUACGGGAGGCAGGAGUGGGGAAUUUUGGACAAUGGGCGAAAGCCUGAUCCAGCAAUGCCGCGUGCAGGAAGAAGGCCUUCGGGUUGUAAACUGCUUUUGUACGGAGCGAAAAGGUCUCCUCUAAUACAGGGGGCUCAUGACGGUACCGUAAGAAUAAGCACCGGCUAACUACGUGCCAGCAGCCGCGGUAA